rnacentral:rRNA from 1 species
AUUGAACGCUGGCGGCAGGCCUAACACAUGCAAGUCGAGCGGGGUUUUCGGACCUAGCGGCGGACGGGUGAGUAAUGCGUAGGAAGCUGCCCGAUAGAGGGGGAUACCAGUUGGAAACGACUGUUAAUACCGCAUAAUGUCUACGGACCAAAGUGUGGGACCUUCGGGCCACAUGCUAUCGGAUGCGCCUACGUGGGAUUAGCUAGUUGGUGAGGUAAUGGCUCACCAAGGCGACGAUCUCUAGCUGGUUUGGGAGGAUGAUCAGCCACACUGGAACUGAGACACGGUCCAGACACCUAGGGGAGGCAGCAGUGGAGAAUAUUGGACAAUGGGGGCAAGCCUGAUCCAGCCAUGCCGCGUGUGUGAAGGAGGGCAUCGGGUUGUAAAGCACUUUCAGUAGGGAGGAAGGGUGUUGUGUUAAUAGCACAGCAUUUUGACGUUACCUACAGAAGAAGCACCGGCUAACUCUGUGCCAGCAGCCGCAGUAACAC